GUCCCUGCGUCACCCCCCGUUGGGUCCCUGUAUCACCCCCCGUUGGGUCCCUGCGUCACCCCCCGUUGGGUCCCUGUCUCACCCCCCCGUUGGGUCCCUGUGUCACCCCCCGUUGGGUCCCUGCAUCGCAUCAUGGGUCACUAUGUCAUGCUGUGGGUCCCUGGGUCACCUCCAUGGGUCACUGGGUCACCUCAGUGGGUCCCCAUGGGUCCCUAUGUCACCCCCAUGUGUCCCUGCAACACCCAUGGGUCACUAUGUCAUGUUAUGGGUCCCUGUGUCACCACAGUGGGUCCCCAUGGGUCCCUGUGUCACCCCCGUGGGUCCCUGUGUCACCCUGUGGGUCCCUGGGUCACCUCCAUGGGUCAUUGGGUCACCCUUGUGGGUCCCUUUGGGUCCCUGUGUCCCCCCUUUGGGUCACUGGGUCACCCCCAUGGGUCCCUGCGUCACCCAUGGAUCUCUUUGUCACCCCCAUGGGUCCCUGUGUGCCCCCUUUGGGUCCUUGGCUCACCUCCAUGGGUCCCUGGGUCACCUCAGUGGGUCCCUUUGGGUCCCCCUGUGUGCCCCCUUUGGGUUCCUGGGUCACCUCCGUGGGUCACUGGGUCACCUCAGUGGGUCCCUAUGUCACCCUGUGGGUCCCUGUGUCACCCCCAUGGGUCCCUGCAUCAUCCAUGGAUCCCUGUGUCACCUCAGUGGGUCCCCUUUGGGUCCCUGGGUCACCUCCAUGGGUCACUGUGUCACCCCAGUGGGUCCCCAUAGGUCCCUGUGUCACCUCCACAGGUCCCUGCAUCACCCAUGGGUCCCUGUGUCCUCCUGUGGGUCCCUGUGUCACCUCAGUGGGUCCCCAUGGGUCCCUGUGUCCCCCCUUUGGGUCCCUGGGUCACCUCCAUGGGUCACUGGGUCACCUCCGUGGGUCCCUGCAUCACCCAUGGGUCACUAUGUCACGCUAUGGGUCCCUGCGUCACCUCGGUGGGUCCCCCCUUUGGGUCCCUGGGUCACCUCCAUGGGUCACUGGGUCCCUAUGUCACCCUGUGGGUCCCUGCAUCACCCUAUGGCUCCCUGUGUCACCUCGGUGGGUCCCUAUGGGUCCCUUUGUCACCCAUGGGUAUCUACGUCACCCUGUGGGUCCCUAUGUCACCUUAUGGGUCCCUGCAUCACCCAUGGGUCCCUAUGUCACCCUAUGGGUCCCUGUGUCACCCCAUGGGGUCCCUAGGUCACCUCCAUGGGUCACUGGGUCAUCACCUCUGUGGGUCCCUAUGGGUCACUGGGUCACCUCAGUGGGUCCUCGUGGGUCCCUAUGGGUCCCUAUGUCCCCCCUUUGGGUCCCUAUGUCACCCCCGUGGGUCCCUGUGGGUCCCUAUGUCCCCCCCAUGUGUCCCUAUGUCCCCCCCACGGGUCCCUGUGUCCCCCCACGGGUCCCUGUGUCNNNNNNNNNNNNNNNNNNNNNNNNNNNNNNNNNNNNNNNNNNNNNNNNNNNN
rnacentral:lncRNA from 1 species